rnacentral:rRNA from 1 species
AGUCUGGGAAACUGCCUGAUGGAGGGGGAGUAACUACUGGAAACGGUAGCUAAUACCGCAUAAUGUCGCAAGACCAAAGUGGGGGACCUUCGGGCCUCAUGCCAUCAGAUGUGCCCAGAUGGGAUUAGCUAGUAGGUGGGGUAAUGGCUCACCUAGGCGACGAUCCCUAGCUGGUCUGAGAGGAUGAUCAGCCACACUGGAACUGAGACACGGUCCAG